GUGAGUUCUAGGACAGCCUGGUCUACAAAGCAAGUUCCAGGACAGCCUGGGCUGUUACACAGAGAAACCCUGUCUCAAAAAAAAAAAAAAAAAAAAAAAAAAGGAAGAAAAAAGAUGCUGUCACUCAGCCUCAGGAAGGAAGAGAUUAUGCAAUUGACUGAAACUCAAAAGAAAAGCAGCUUUUUAAAGAAAACCCAAAAAGAGAAGCAGGAGAAACCAUGGCAAGUGUACUGGCAGCCUCAGAACACAGGCCUGGCACCUGUCAGCCUUGAGCGGCACCUGGGCAAGGACCCCCAACUCCUAGCAGAACAGGCCCUGGGGGAAAUGCUUCUUAUGGCAAUGACUGGCAAGG
rnacentral:lncRNA from 1 species